rnacentral:tRNA from 1 species
GCGGGGGUUGCCAAGUCUGGUCAAACAAAACCCUUUUCCACCUCGAUCAUAAGCGUUAAAGGGAAUGGAAAAAGGAUCAUUGGAGAAACACUAUUUCUCCUUGCUGGGUCAAAGGCGCAAGGUUGAGGGCCUUGUCUCGUAGGAGUUCGCGAGUUCAAAUCUCGUCCCCCGCA